UAGCCAGACUCCUACGGGAGGCAGCAGUGAGGAAUAUUGGUCAAUGGUCGGGAGACUGAACCAGCCAAGCCGCGUGAGGGAUGAAGGUACAGAGUAUCGUAAACCUCUUUUGCCAGGGAACAAAGGCGGGGACGUGUCCCCGGAUGAGUGUACCUGAAGAAAAAGCAUCGGCUAACUCCGUGCCAGCAGCCGCGGUAAUACGGAGGAUGCGAGCGUUAUCCGGAUUUAUUGGGUUUAAAGGGUGCGUAGGCGGACGCUUAAGUGGGCGGUAAAAUGGCGGGGCUAACCCUCGUCGAGCCGUUGAAACUGGGUGCCUUGAGUGGGCGAGAAGUACGCGGAAUGCGUGGUGUAGCGGUGAAAUGCAUAGAUAUCGCGCAGAACCCCGAUUGCGAAGGCAGCGUGCCGUGCCGCCACUGACGCUGAGGCACGAAAGCGCGGGGAUCGAACAGGAUUAGAUACCCUAGUA
rnacentral:rRNA from 1 species